rnacentral:rRNA from 1 species
UACGGGGGGGGGCAAGCGUUGUUCGGAAUACUGGGCGUAAAGCGUGCGCAGGCGGUGAUGUAAGACAGGUGUGAAAUCCCCGGGCUUAACCCUGGGAACUGCAUUUGUGACUGCAUCGCUGGAGUGCGGCAGAGGGGGAUGGAAUUCCGGCGUGUAGCAGUGAAAUGCGUAGAGUAUGCGGAGGAACACCGAUGGCGAAGGCAAUCCCCUGGGCCUGCACUGACGCUCAUGCACGAAAGCGUGGGGAGCAAACAGGAAUUGAG